UACGGGGGGGGCAAGCGUUGUUCGGAAUUACUGGGCGUAAAGGGCGCGUAGGCGGCCUACUAAGUCGGACGUGAAAUCCCUCGGCUCAACCGAGGAACUGCGUCCGAUACUGGUGGGCUUGAAUCCGGGAGAGGGAUGCGGAAUUCCAGGUGUAGCGGUGAAAUGCGUAGAUAUCUGGAGGAACACCGGUGGCGAAGGCGGCAUCCUGGACCAUUACUGACGCUGAGUGAGCGAAAGCCAGGGGAGCAAACGGG
rnacentral:rRNA from 1 species